rnacentral:rRNA from 1 species
UACGGAGGGUGCAAGCGUUAUCCGGAUUCACUGGGUUUAAAGGGUGCGUAGGUGGGCAGGUAAGUCAGUGGUGAAAUCUCCGGGCUUAACCCGGAAACUGCCAUUGAUACUAUCAGUCUUGAAUACCGUGGAGGUAAGCGGAAUAUGUCAUGUAGCGGUGAAAUGCUUGGAUAUGACAUAGAACACCAAUUGCGAAGGCAGCUGGCUACACGAAUAUUGACACUGAGGCACGAAAGCGUGGGGAGCGAACAGG